AGUCGGAUGGGGUAGACGCGAAACCAAGUGAUCUACACUUGCCCAGGUUGAAGUUCCGGUAACACGGAAUGGAGGACCGAACCAAUAAGCGUUGAAAAGCUUCUGGAUGAGGUGAGUGUAGGAGUGAAAGGCCAAUCAAACUUGGAGAUAGCUCGUACUCCCCGAAAGGCAUUUAGGUGCCGCGUGCAGUGUUCUCCAUGAGAGGUAGAGCGACCGAUAGGUCAAGAGGGCUUCACCGCCUAUCGCGACCUGACGAACUCCGAAUGCUCAUGGACGGUAGCUGUGCAGUAAGGGGGCGGGUGCUAAGGUCCGUCCCCGAGAGGAGAAGAAUCCUGACCGCCGUCUAAGGUCCCGAAAUUCUGUGCUUAGUUAGUCUAACGAAGUCUGGUCCCCGUGACAGCUAGGAUGUUGGCUUGGAAGCAGCCAUUCAUUCAAAGAGUGCGUAACAGCUCACUAGUCGAGGGUCCGGGCGUGGAUAAUAAUCGGGUAUAAGCCAGAUACCGAAGACGCGGGAUAGCAUUGUAUAUAAAAAGUAUCGGUAGGGGAGCAUUCCAUCGACGCAGAAUGGUGAUAUUGAUUGAUCCUGGAGUUUAUGGAAAAGCAAAUGUAGGUAUAAGUAACGAUAAAAAGGGUGUGAUUCCCUUUCGCCGUAAGACCGAGGUUUCCCGGGCGAUGCCAAUCAGCCCGGGGUGAGUCGGGUCCUAAGCCUCAGCCGAAUGGCGAUGGCGAUGGCAGACACGGUUAAUAUUCCGUGACUUGCGCAUAUAGCGAUGUGGAGACGGAGCAGUGACACUGUCGCGUCCUGACGGAAAUGGGCGUUGAAGGUUGUAGGCGUUGAGGGAUACAGGCAAAUCCGUAUUCCGAGCUGAAUUCCGACAGUACGGUCUUCUUUUCGGAGACGACCGACAGCACAGGUAAUCAUACUCCCUAGAAAAUCCGCUAAGCAUAUGUUUGCGCAACCCGUACCGCAAACGGACACACGUGGUCGGGUAGAACAUACCAAGGCGUUGAGAGAUUCAUGGUUAAGGAACUAGGCAAACUGACCCCGUAACUUCGGGAAAAGGGGUCCUCAUGGCGACAUGAGGCGCAGAGAAUAGGUCCAGGCAACUGUUUAACAAAAACACAGGGCUGUGC
rnacentral:rRNA from 1 species